CCUACGGGAGGCAGCAGUGGGGAAUAUUGCACAAUGGGGGAAACCCUGAUGCAGCGACGCCGCGUGAGUGAAGAAGUAAUUCGUUAUGUAAAGCUCUAUCAGCAGGGAAGAAAAUGACGGUACGUGAGUAAGAAGCCCCGGCUAACUACGUGCCAGCAGCCGCGGUAAUACGUAGGGGGCAAGCGUUAUCCGGAUUUACUGGGUGUAAAGGGAGCGUAGACGGCAGUGCAAGUCUGGAGUGAAAGGCGGGGGCUCAACCCCCGGACUGCUCUGGAAACUGUACGGCUGGAGUGCAGGAGAGGGAAGUGGAAUUCCUGGUGUAGCGGUGAAAUGCGUAGAUAUUAGGAGGAACACCAGGGGCGAAGGCGGCUUACUGGACUGUAACUGACGUUGAGGCUCGAAAGCGUGGGGAGCAAACAGGAUUAGAUACCCUGGUAGUC
rnacentral:rRNA from 1 species